CUUAAACACAUGCAAAGUCGAGCGAAGCUUUUCCUUCGGGGAAAGAAAUGACUUAGCGGCGAAACGGGGUGAGUAAACACGUGGGGCAAACCCUGCCCCUUAGCUCUGGGAUAAGCGAUGGAAACGUCGUCUAAUACCGGAUAUGACACGGGACGGCAUCAUCUCCGUGUGGAAAGAAUUUCGGCUAAGGAUGGGCCCGCGGCCUAUCAGCUUGUUGGUGGGGUAAUGGCCUACCAAGGCUACGACGGGUAACCGGCCUGAGAGGGCGACCGGUCACACUGGGACUGAGACACGGCCCAGACUCCUACGGGAGGCAGCAGUGGGGAAUAUUGCACAAUGGGCGAAAGCCUGAUGCAGCGACGCCGCGUGAGGGAUGACGGCCUUCGGGUUGUAAACCUCUUUCAGCAGGGACGAAGCGAAAGUGACGGUACCUGCAGAAGAAGCGCCGGCCAACUACGUG
rnacentral:rRNA from 1 species